GACGAACGCUGGCGGCGUGCUUAACACAUGCAAGUCGAACGGUAAGGCCCUUCGGGGUACACGAGUGGCGAACGGGUGAGUAACACGUGGGUGAUCUGCCCUGCACUUCGGGAUAAGCCCGGGAAACUGGGUCUAAUACCGGAUAGUACUGCGCGGUGCAUGCCGUGUGGUGGAAAGAUUUAUCGGUGCAGGAUGGGCCCGCGGCCUAUCAGCUUGUUGGUGGGGUAAUGGCCUACCAAGGCGACGACGGGUAGCCGGCCUGAGAGGGCGACCGGCCACACUGGGACUGAGACACGGCCCAGACUCCUACGGGAGGCAGCAGUGGGGAAUAUUGCACAAUGGGCGCAAGCCUGAUGCAGCGACGCCGCGUGAGGGAUGACGGCCUUCGGGUUGUAAACCUCUUUCAGCAGGGACGAAGCGCAAGUGACGGUACCUGCAGAAGAAGCACCGGCCAACUACGUGCCAGCAGCCGCGGUAAUACGUAGGGUGCAAGCGUUGUCCGGAAUUACUGGGCGUAAAGAGCUCGUAGGCGGUUUGUCGCGUCGUCUGUGAAAACCAGCAGCUCAACUGUUGGCUUGCAGGCGAUACGGGCAGACUUGAGUAUUUCAGGGGAGACUGGAAUUCCUGGUGUAGCGGUGAAAUGCGCAGAUAUCAGGAGGAACACCGGUGGCGAAGGCGGGUCUCUGGGAAAUAACUGACGCUGAGGAGCGAAAGCGUGGGUAGCGAACAGGAUUAGAUACCCUGGUAGUCCACGCCGUAAACGGUGGGCGCUAGGUGUGGGUUUCCUUCCACGGGAUCCGUGCCGUAGCUAACGCAUUAAGCGCCCCGCCUGGGGAGUACGGCCGCAAGGCUGAAACUCAAAGGAAUUGACGGGGGCCCGCACAAGCGGCGGAGCAUGUGGAUUAAUUCGAUGCAACGCGAAGAACCUUACCUGGGUUUGACAUACACCGGAAAGCCGUAGAGAUACGGCCCCCCUUGUGGUCGGUGUACAGGUGGUGCAUGGCUGUCGUCAGCUCGUGUCGUGAGAUGUUGGGUUAAGUCCCGCAACGAGCGCAACCCUUGUCCUGUGUUGCCAGCGGAUAAUGCCGGGGACUCGCAGGAGACUGCCGGGGUCAACUCGGAGGAAGGUGGGGACGACGUCAAGUCAUCAUGCCCCUUAUGUCCAGGGCUUCACACAUGCUACAAUGGCCGGUACAGAGGGCUGCGAUACCGUGAGGUGGAGCGAAUCCCUUAAAGCCGGUCUCAGUUCGGAUCGGGGUCUGCAACUCGACCCCGUGAAGUCGGAGUCGCUAGUAAUCGCAGAUCAGCAACGCUGCGGUGAAUACGUUCCCGGGCCU
rnacentral:rRNA from 1 species